rnacentral:rRNA from 1 species
UACGUAGGGGGCAAGCGUUGUCCGGAUUUAUUGGGCGUAAAGCGCGUGUAGGCGGCCACACAGGUCCGCUGUGAAAACUCGAGGCUCAACCUCGAGCUGUCGGUGGAAACCGUGUGGCUAGAGUCCGGAAGAGGAGACUGGAAUUCCCGGUGUAGCGGUGGAAUGCGCAGAUAUCGGGAGGAACACCUAUGGCGAAGGCAGCUCGCUGGGACGGUACUGACGCUGAGACGCGAAAGCGUGGGGAGCAAACAGG